UAGAAAUAAAAUUGUCAAUAUUAUUUAUUGAGGAAAUCAAAUGUCUAUUAGAGCCGUCAGGCCAAAUCUUUUUUUUUAGAAUUUUUUGACGCUUCACAAUUAAGGUGACGUUAUAUGUAGCAGUUUUCACACGCAAUAUUGAUUUAUCUUAAGCAUUUUUCUGUUCAAAAGAGUAAUGAAAUUGUUAAGAAGACUCUUAUUAAUAUAAUAUAUGAAUAUAAAUAUGUUUCAACGAUAAAGCUCUUUACGGUUAAAUGAGCUCAUUAAAGCCACCGAAAAAUACAAUACAUUUGGGACUAACGUGUGGAUGGUGAUUUCGCCAACUAUGGAACUGUAAAUACCUCAUAUAAUAGAAUGUAUAGCAAACGGUUAUAGAUGAUUCAGCUGGGCCGUUCUACAUCAAUUAAGCUGCCAGUAACAGUAAAGUAAAUUUUUGCGCAUUAAGAACGGCUCCAGGCUUUGGAAACGGCAUCAUGGAAACACACAUCAACUUUUAAAAGAGAGGGAGGAAGUUGAAAAGAACCUAUAUACAUACAUACGA